rnacentral:rRNA from 1 species
UACGGGGGGGGGCAAGCGUUGUUCGGAAUUACUGGGCGUAAAGGGCUCGUAGGCGGCCAACUAAGUCGGACGUGAAAUCCCUCGGCUCAACCGGGGAACUGCGUCCGAUACUGGAUGGCUUGGAUUCGGGAGAGGAAUGCGGAAUUCCAGGUGUAGCGGUGAAAUGCGUAGAUAUCUGGAGGAACACCGGUGGCGAAGGCGGCAUUCUGGACCGACAUUGACGCUGAGGAGCGAAAGCCAGGGGAGCAAACGGG